AACCCCUGCUGCCAGUUGCCAACGGGUAGAGCCGGGCACUCUGGCGGGACUGCCAUCGACAAGAUGGAGGAAGGUGGGGAUGACGUCAAGUCAUCAUGGCCCUUAUGUCCAGGGCGACACACGUGCUACAAUGGCCGGCACAGCGGGAAGCGAGGCAGUGAUGCCAAGCGGAUCCCUUAAAGCCGGUCUCAGUUCGGAUUGAAGUCUGCAACUCGACUUCAUGAAGCUGGAAUCGCUAGUAAUCGCAGAUCAGCCAAGCUGCGGUGAAUACGUUCCCGGGCCUU
rnacentral:rRNA from 2 species